GUUUCAGAGGAGACUCUCUUAGUAACAGUUGCCAUGCAAAAUUCAUAAUUAAUGAAGAUUUCAGGGUUAUGGUUGCACUUUGUGUUCUCCAUCUCCACAUUGAUGCAUCUGUCAAAGCCUUCGCUCUAGUUCUGUCACGGCAUGGGCUGGUUCCUACAGGACUUUUGGCUUGGAGCUACAUAAGGGCCAAUCACUUGAUAGCAGGAAGAUAUUGGAUCCUUACUUCCCUCUCUGCUAUGAUCUUUCAGCAAUAUAUCUGCAUAUGCUCUUACCUGGCAUGAAACAACUCCCAGCUCUCCUUGAUAAUGAUGAAAAACGAAAGGUGUCCCUAGGAAGAGCAUGGACCUGCAGUUGGAGGAGCAUCAUGAGCACUUGAGGUGCCCUGCGCACACAGCAGCUCACAGGAGUGGGAUGCAAUCACACUGUGCUGCGGUA
rnacentral:lncRNA from 1 species